GAUGCAAUCAAAUGAGUAAGAUGGCGGCGCUUGUUAUUAUAAAUUAUUGAGUAAUGUGGAUUAGCGAUUAUUAUACCAUAAAAAAGCUUUGAUAGUGUAUGUGUUUAUGUGGUGCGUUAUUGGGUGGAUUUGUUUUAAGUGGAUAUAUGUAUAAGGCAGUGUGGGAUCGAUGUAGGACCGAACAAGUGCAUAUGUUGGUGACUGUAAAUAAAGUGCAGUUGCAGAACGAUGUGGCAACAGAGGAAGAGUCAUGAUACAGACAGCAGCAGUUCCAAUGCCCAGCAGAGAGGUUGAGAACAACCAGCGCCACGGGAGAUCUCCAAACCAUUACCAGUAUGCCAUGACCCAGAGGCAUCGCAAUGGUGGUGGGAGAUCAUUCCAACAGCGCGUGGCUGCGAACUUAAAACACCCUCUGAAUGCUGUAGUUCUGUGCAUUGGUACCAGCAACGGGCACACCAUGGAGCGAAGACCAUGCUUUGAGUUAACAUCUUUCCAGGUAUAGGCCGCACGAUAGCACAACGCCAGAGUUCAGGGAAAGUAUGAGUGCUUAUGGACCGGUUAAUAAUGUCUGUGAUCACUUGCAAAGUGGUUGGUAGUGUGAGGCAUAACAUUUCGAGGCUAAUGCCAUCGAUACCCUGUGCAUUCGAUUUUAGACUUUUAAUUAUUUUGAGGACUGCUUCGGCCUUGGUCGCUGUGAGUGUAAAGGAAGUGUCACUAAACCUGUGUGAUUGAAAAUAAGACAGCUGUGAGUCGCUGUGUUGACAAUUACCCGGCACAUCUAGAAACGCUGCAUUGAUUUCGUCAGGUUUGUCAAAAUGUCCUGGUAGCAAUCUUUGUUUGUGGUCUGGCAACACAUCUGUUUUUAAAUUGUGCCAUAGAAGCUUUGGGUCCUUGAUGUUGUCAUUAAUGCUCUUAGCAAAGUAUGCUUUCUUCUCACUAGCCAAUGCCGUAAUUGCUUGAUGUUUUAAAUCAAGGUAAUAUUUUUUAUGUUCUGGCAAUUUCGAUUUGUGAAACCUAUCCCUAGCCUCGUCUCUUAGUUUAGAAAUAAGCCUGAUAUUGUCAGUUAUCCACGGAGUGGGACGGGUUUUAAAAGUCUUCGUUUUGAUGGGAGCGUGGAGGUCAAACAGAUGGAUCAUUGCAGAGUUAAAUGUUUGCACCAUGGUGUUGACAUCCAUCAUGUCACUAAUACGCGACCAAGGAAUGGAAUUAAGAUCCCUAUGAAAGUAGUCUUCUAGUAUAUCUCGAAGCGGACGAAAAACUACAUGAAUUGGUUUAGGCUUCGGUUUUUUAAAAACUGUCU